rnacentral:ncRNA from 1 species
AAACUAUAUACGUCUUUUCGUAUAUCGUUGGUAAUACGGUCCAACGGUCUCUACCAGGCAACCGUAAAUUGCUUGACUACGAAAA